GAAGAAAAAAGAUGGGAAGACAGUUAAAGAAGCUCAUGAGAGGCUCAAGUCUGGAAGUGUUGAUGUGCUACAUUGUUAUUAUGCCCAUGGAGAAGGAAAUGAAAAUUUUCAAAGACGGAGUUAUUGGAUGCUUGAAGAGGAACUUUCUCACAUAGUGCUUGUCCACUAUAGGGAUGUAAAGCAGGGCAACAAGGCAAAUUUUAACCACGUUAAAGAGCAUGAAGAAGCUAUUCCAUAUCCCCAUGAGAUUGAAGAC
rnacentral:misc_RNA from 1 species